rnacentral:lncRNA from 1 species
CUUCCUUCACGACCACCACGGGUUUGCUUGCUACCCCUUGUACCACCACUUUGACUGGCUCUGGUUUUGCUGCAACAGUGCUUGAUGAUCCUUUCUGGGCUACCACAACUGGCUUAUUGUCUACCCCUUCGACUGAACUACUAAUUUCCUACUGUUGUAUGAAUGAGUUGCCAGAAUGCCAACCAACUAACCACCUGCCUGUACUCAAUAUAUCAACAACAACUUGGUUAGUAGUUAGGGUUUUAACAGAUUUGAUAACCGCACGUUUGGGGAAUGAAUGCACCUAAGCAGUGAAUGGUUUCU